rnacentral:rRNA from 1 species
AGGCUUAACACAUGCAAGUCGAGCGCCCCGCAAGGGGAGCGGCAGACGGGUGAGUAACGCGUGGGAAUCUACCUUUUGCUACGGAAUAACGCAGGGAAACUUGUGCUAAUACCGUAUGUGUCCUUCGGGAGAAAGAUUUAUCGGCAAGAGAUGAGCCCGCGUUGGAUUAGCUAGUUGGUGGGGUAAAGGCCUACCAAGGCGACGAUCCAUAGCUGGUCUGAGAGGAUGAUCAGCCACAUUGGGACUGAGACACGGCCCAAACUCCUACGGGAGGCAGCAGUGGGGAAUAUUGGACAAUGGGCGCAAGCCUGAUCCAGCCAUGCCGCGUGAGUGAUGAAGGCCCUAGGGUUGUAAAGCUCUUUCACCGGAGAAGAUAAUGACGGUAUCCGGAGAAGAACCCCGGCUAACUUCGUGCCAGCAG